rnacentral:rRNA from 1 species
ANCANUAGGAACUUCCGCAAUGGACGAAAGUCUGACGGAGCACGCCGCGUGAGUGAUGAAGGUUUUCGGAUCGUAAAACUCUGUUGUUAGGGAAGAACAAGUACCGUUCGAAUAGGGCGGUACCUUGACGGUACCUAACCAGAAAGCCACGGCUAACUACGUGCCAGCAGCCGCGGUAAUACGUAGGUGGCAAGCGUUGUCCGGAAUUAUUGGGCGUAAAGCGCGCGCAGGCGGUCUUUUAAGUCUGAUGUGAAAGCCCCCGGCUCAACCGGGGAGGGUCAUUGGAAACUGGGAGACUUGAGUGCAGAAGAGGAGAGUGGAAUUCCACGUGUAGCGGUGAAAUGCGUAGAGAUGUGGAGGAACACCAGUGGCGAAGGCGACUCUCUGGUCUGUAACUGACGCUGA